GGUCAAGGCUAAGGGGGACAUCAUCCGAACAGGGACACACAGGCAGCCAGUGGAACAGGGAACAGAAACCAAAGGGGACUUCCUUUUGAAUCUCUUGGUGGAUGUCGACACUGCUCCCAAGAUCCACUUGCUCCUCUACACCAUUUUGCCCAGUGGAGAACUCGUUGCUGGCUUGAGAGACUUCACCGUAGAAACGUGCUUCUCCCACAAGGCCAAACUGUGGUUCUCGGAUCAAGAAGGUCUGCCUGGCCAGAAAGCCCAACUCCAUCUUUCAGCCUUCCCCGGUUCUCUCUGUGCCAUCCAUGCCGUUGACCAGAGUGUCUUUCUCUUCAAACCUGAAGCCGAGCUCUCCUCUGAGAAGGUAAGUUCCGAAUGCAUUUCAUUUGGGGUCUAGAUAUGUCCUGGCUGAUGCUGGUUUCAUCCCAAGAUUUACUUGUCCAUUGAGAUGUACUUCAAAUACGAUCACUUGCAGCCAUUUAUUUACAAUUUACACCAGAAGAUAGUGGUCACAACUAAAUUUAAGAAGUUAGGGGAGGAUUGCAGGGAAGGAGAAGUAAAGAAAAUUGUCCAUAAAUUAAUUUUAGGGGAAGAAAAUGUAGGAAAAAUAGAAAGACAAAGCAUGUAGACUGAGGGCAGCCCACUAUCACAGUCCAGAGAUUUUGCCAUAAUGCAAAGUAGUGUGUUAUAGUGGUGAAAGUAAUGGAUUAGGAAUAAAAUUCCUGAGGAACUUUGAGUCAGUCCCAUUCUCAGAGUGUCAAGGUUCCAACUGACAAA